rnacentral:tRNA from 1 species
ACUUUUUUAGUUUAUUUUUAAAAUGUGACAUUGAAAAUGUUAAGAUUUCAGAAGUA